rnacentral:rRNA from 1 species
GACGAACGCUGGCGGCGUGCCUAAUACAUGCAAGUCGAGCGGACGGAUGGGAGCUUGCUCCCAGACCGUCAGCGGCGGACGGGUGAGUAACCCGUGGGCAACCUGCCUGUAAGACUGGGAUAACUCCGGGAAACCGGGGCUAAUACCGGAUAACUCUUUCCCUCCCCUGAGGGAAAGCUGAAAUAUGGCAUCUCGCUAUCACUUACAGAUGGGCCCGCGGCGCAUUAGCUAGUUGGUGAGGUAACGGCUCACCAAGGCGACGAUGCGUAGCCGAACUGCGGGGGUGAUAGGCCACACUGGGACUGAGACACGGCCCAGACGCCUACGGGAGGCAGCAGUAGGGAAUCUGCCGCAAAGGACGAAAGUCUGACGGAGCAACGCCGCGUGAGUGAUGAAGGUUUUCGGAUCGUAAAACUCUGUUGUCAGGGAAGAACAGGUACCGGAGUAACUGCCGGUAGCUUGACGGUACCUGACCAGAAAGCCACGGCUAACUACGUG